rnacentral:SRP_RNA from 2 species
GCCAGGCGCAGUGGCGGGCGCCUGUAGUCCCAGCUACUUGGGAGGCUGAGGCAGGAGAAUCGCUUGAACCCAGGAGGCGGAGGUUGCAGUGAGUCAAGAUGGUGCCACUGCACUCCCGCAUGGGCAGUAGAGUGAGACCCUGUCUCAA